rnacentral:rRNA from 1 species
GACGAACGCUGGCGGCGUGCUUAACACAUGCAAGUCGAACGGAAAGGCCCUGCUUUUGUGGGGUGCUCGAGUGGCGAACGGGUGAGUAACACGUGAGUAACCUGCCCUUGACUUUGGGAUAACUUCAGGAAACUGGGGCUAAUACCGGAUAGGAGCUCCUGCUGCAUGGUGGGGGUUCGAAAGUUUCGGCGGUUGGGGAUGGACUCGCGGCUUAUCAGCUUGUUGGUGGGGUAGUGGCUUACCAAGGCUUUGACGGGUAGCCGGCCUGAGAGGGUGACCGGCCACAUUGGGACUGAGAUACGGCCCAGACUCCUACGGGAGGCAGCAGUGGGGAAUAUUGCACAAUGGGCGGAAGCCUGAUGCAGAAACGCCGCGUGCGGGAUGACGGCCUUCGGGUUGUAAACCGCUUUCGCCUGUGACGAAGCGUGAGUGACGGUAAUGGGUAAAGAAGCACCGGCUAACUACGUG